UCAUCUUCGAAGUUCGGUCCUCGUCUUCGUACGCAGCUCUUGUUAUCCGAAUUCCCCAGGCAGGACGGACGGAUAAAUCGUUGCGGAAAUAAUCCGGGGAAGCCAGGGAUCGAACCCACGACCUUUGAGUUAAGAAGCCCAAUCAGCCGGAUAACGCGAGAAGGCAAUACUCCGGAGUAUUAACAGUGGGCGGAGCCAUCGAGGGGUCCUGCACUUGUAACGUCCGAUAUACUUGUCCAAAUUAAUCCGGGAAAAGUGUGUUGAAGUCGUACUCUCAGAACGUAUAAACUGUGAAAACCGCAUUUACUAUCUCAAAACUGUCGCUCAGUAAGCAAAGAAAAACUAUGCCAUAUGGAAGGUGAAAAAACUUGUUGUAUUUAUAACCUGCUAUUAUUUAUAAAUACAAGUAAAUAGUGAUACAAAUUUCAACUACAAAGAAAUUGCAAAACAUUAUCAGUUCCGGAUAAUAUCCGGUAGGAGCCCUCGAUAGCUCCGCCCACUGUAAGUUAGGAAUAAUAUCCGGUUAAAAUUCUAAGAAACCUCCAUUGACAAUGAGCAAAUGCGACAGGGGGGAAUAGCUCAUUGUCAAUGGAGGUGUAUUAGAAUUUUAACUGGAUAUUAUUUUCAAUUUAAUAUUGCCUUCUCGCGUUAUCCAACCCGUGAGCCCAAUCAGCCGGAUAACGUGAGAAGGCAAUAUUAACUUUAAGUUAGGAACCAUAUCCGGUUAAAAUUCUAAUAAACCUCCAUUGACAAUGAGCUAUUCCUUCAAGUGUUAGUGGUGAUACCCAAAUGGAGUGUGUUGGACCUUUCGGGGACCGGCAUGGGCCGUUGGUUGGGCUGCCCUUGCUGUACUGGAGAGAAUUGUUUAUGCGAUGAACAAUUAACUCACAGUCAGAACUGGAGCGGACAAGGGGAAUCCGACUGUUUAAUUAAAACAAAGCAUUGUGAUGGACGAGACGGUGUUGACACAAUGUGAUUUCUGCCCAGUGCUCUGAAUGUCAAAGUGAAGAGAUUCAACCAAGCGCGGGUAAACGGCGGGAGUAACUAUGACUCUCUUAAGGUAGCCAAAUGCCUCGUCAUCUAACUAGUGACGCGCAUGAAUGGAUUAAUGAGAUUCCCACUGUCCCUAUCUACUGUCUAGCGAACCCACAGCCAAGGGAACGGGCUUGGAAAAAUCAGCGGGGAAAGAAGACCCUGUUGAGCUUGACUCUAGUCUGACGUUGUGAAAUGACUUAGGAGGUGUAGAAUAAGCGGGAGCUCCGGCGCAAGUGAAAUACCGCUACUUCUAAUGUUGUUUUACUGUCCCAUCAAGUAGCGCCUGGCCAUCCUCGCGGGUGCCCAGUUCUAGAUUGAAGCUCGAUUUAUCGGGUGAGCUACGUGGAAGACAUCGUCAGGUGGGGAGUUUGGCUGGGUGAGAAGUGUACAUUAAACUUAAUGGGGUUGAGUUGCUAUGCCAGCAACCUAUAAGUGCAAUUAACUAGUAUCUACUUGGAGGCAGUCAUGGCAUCUUGGUUGGCCGACUUCUUACGGGCUUUUUUGGCGCCCUUGGAGAGUGACGGGGGUUGGAGUACCAGGGAAAGGAUGUAGAUCACUUGGU
rnacentral:rRNA from 1 species